AUUGAACGCUGGCGGCGUGCUUAACACAUGCAAGUCGAUCGGUAACAGGUGUAGCAAUACAUGCUGACGAGAGGCGGACGGGUGAGUAAUGCUUGGGAAUCUGCCUAUUAGUGGGGGACAACCCGGGGAAACUCGGGCUAAUACCGCAUACGCUCUACGGAGGAAAGCCGGGGACCGCAAGGCCUGGCGCUAAUAGAUGAGCCCAAGUCGGAUUAGCUAGUUGGUAGGGUAACGGCCUACCAAGGCGACAAUCCGUAGCUGGUCUGAGAGGACGACCAGCCACACCGGAACUGAGACACGGUCCGGACUCCUACGGGAGGCAGCAGUGGGGAAUAUUGGACAAUGGGGGUAACCCUGAUCCAGCGACGCCGCGUGUGUGAAGAAGGCCUGCGGGUUGU
rnacentral:rRNA from 1 species